GGCCGCGGUAAUAUAGACCGUGCUAAGGUAACAUAAUAAUUUGUCCUUUAAUUGGGGACUGGUAUGAACGGCUGAACAAGAAAUUGACUGUCUCUACUGCAAAAUUUGAACUUUACGUUUAAGUGAAAAGGCUUAAAUGAUAUAGGGGGACGAUAAGACCCUAUAAAUCUUUAUGUUUUAUCUAAUGAAUUUCAAAAAUUAAUUACAUAUUUGGUGUUACUACGGUAAAAUAUUUUGUUGGGGCGACAGGAAUAUAACAAGUAACUGCUUUGGAUAUAGAAUUAAUUAUUUUUAUAGUGAGAAGUUAAAUUGAUCCUCUUCUGGAGAAAUCAGACUAAGUUACUUUAGGGAUAACAGCGUAAUCUUUUUUGAGAGUUCAUAUCGAAAAAAUGGUUUGCGACCUCGAUGUUGAAUUAAAGAUCCUUAAUGGCGUAGGGGCUAUUAAAGGAGGUCUGUUCGA
rnacentral:rRNA from 1 species